AAUGCUUCCUGGCCUUUUGGCUAUGAUCAAGUGUAGUACCUGUUAACAUUUGUAAAUGCAAAAGAAAGCAAUUUAUGCUCCUCUCCGUGAGCAGAAAAUGCCCAUCCAUU